GACGAACGCUGGCGGCAUGCCUAAUACAUGCAAGUCGAACGCGGCCAUCCGGUGCUUGCACUGGUGAAGCCGAGUGGCGAACGGGUGAGUAACACGUGAGAAACCUGCCCUGGAGUGGGGAAUAACUCGAAGAAAUUCGAGCUAAUACCGCAUACCUUCUCUUCACCGCAUGGUGAGUUGAAGAAAGAUUUAUCGCUCUAGGAGGGUCUCGCGGCCUAUCAGCUAGUUGGUGAGGUAAUGGCUCACCAAGGCAUCGACGGGUAGCUGGUCUGAGAGGACGAUCAGCCACACUGGGACUGAGACACGGCCCAGACUCCUACGGGAGGCAGCAGUAGGGAAUCUUGCGCAAUGGGCGAAAGCCUGACGCAGCAAUGCCGCGUGCGGGACGAAGGCCCUAGGGUCGUAAACCGCUUUCAGUAGGGACGAAAAUGACGGUACCUGCAGAAGAAGCUCCGGCCAACUACGUGCCAGCAGCCGCGGUAAA
rnacentral:rRNA from 1 species